rnacentral:rRNA from 1 species
UUACCACGGUGUGGUCCAUGACUGGGGUGAAGUCGUAACAAGGUAACCGUAGGGGAACCUGCGGUUGGAUCACCUCCUUACGAA